AAGGAGGUGAUAUAAGGCAGGCGGACCCCAGAGAAAGAUGUGGCUGUCAUAGAGGCUAGACUCAACUGCCAUGUUAGGAUGAUGGAUGAAGACUAGGAGCUUUAGAGAAGGGUGAAAACAGCGUUAAUUUGUGGCUGGUGUACAUAGCUUCAGCCAAACAAAAACUUCACAGAAAUAAAACAGGCAGGACAGGAAUGGAUCAAGAACAGAGAUAGAAUUAGGAACCAUGGAAAACUACAAAAAAAAAAAAAAAAGUAAAGGGAGAAGCUCAAAGCCCAGACAUCCGCAGAAUGUGUCCCUGUCACCUAAGGAAUCAGAAGAGGGUAGACCUGGCAGACCUGAACAAGAAGUAAUGGAAGAGAGCCCCUAGCUGGAGAAGAAGGUGCUCAGAGGGAUCCAUGUUUACUCAGCUUAUCAACUCAAACCUGCUAUGGAGUUGUGAGUCUUUGACUGUCAUUUACUGAGGUCAUAUCAAAGACAAAAGGCCAGAAACGGAUCAGAAAGCCUCAAAACGCUGCCCAGUUUAGUCCUGCCUGUAAGGACUACAGAUCAUGAAGCCAAGUUCAGCCUGACCAGAGCUGUACAGGAAGACCUGGUUUACAACACAGUGCUGAGCUUCUUGGAGUCAAGGUCACCACUCUCAAGUUUACAACAGUUUCAUCACCUGAACAAGAAUCCCUCUACAUAUUAGCAAUACAAGCGAAGCUUUUCGAAUUUCCUUUCAUCACUUUGCCUCUCCCAAGAAGGUGUCAGAGUGGAUCGAUGCCUCUGGAUUGGUGCUCGAAGAUUCCAUGAGCUGAGCAACUUUCCUCUGAAAUACUGUUCUGCCUCACCUCAGUCUCAGAACAAUGGAGGCAGGAGAUCAUGGGUUGAAACCUCUGGUACCGUGAGCCCACCUCCAAGCUGUUUGUGCCAGAUGCUCAUUGUUGGCUGAAUUGGGAGAAAUCAUGUACAUGGAAAUGUGAAAAAGAAAAACAAAAAAUAUUACUUCUGUGGCAAACCUCCUAAAGAUGGGAAAGGGAGAAAACUCUGAGAAAUGGAAAGCCCGAGGCUUUGUUCAGAUACAUGGGGGUGACAGGUCUUGCCAGAACCAACCUUGGUGGCAAGGAGCAUUGUUAUUCACCUGGCACCAAGAGGACAUCACCUGAUGGGCAAAUUACCAGAACUCAUUAAAAUCCAGGAAAGAGAAAGACCAUAAUACAGUUACUGUGUACACAUCUCAGACUGUGGCUAAUCUGAGCUUGGGAAACUUUCUGGGCUGGCCUUUCUCCAAGGCCACAGAGCACUGAAGCUAAUCCUCCAGGACUCGGAUGGUAUCCAGAAUCCUCUCUGAUGGCUACAGAAAGCUAUGGAAAUCUGAGGAAAUUCAGACUGGAGAUCAGAGCCCCCAGUGGCUGACUUUCAGAACCCCUUGACUUCAUUGCUUAGGAUCAAAAGGUAAGAACCAAAUAAUAGGGUUAGUGCUUUUUUUCAAUGUCCUCUUACCCUCUUCUCAUCUUUCUUCAUCAAUUUCUGAGGCAGGAAGUCUCUUGAUGUUGAUCACAGGUUGACCAAGAAGCAGAUUGAGGCUCUGACAGCUUCAUUGACCUCUCCAAGAACACACGAACACUCCUGACUUCCAGCCCAGUGUGGUUUCCAUUAGAUGCUCAUGCCAUGGCAUGAAAUCCAAAAUGAGGUCAGGCAGAUCACUCUGUAACCUGAAACUCUGAGCAAAAUUGGUUAGGACUGCAGCUGACAAACAUAGCCUGAUACAGUCCUGUGAGGAAGGGAAGCAAAAGGUCACACCAAGUCAGAACAGAGGCUAUACCUCAGAAAACCUUUGGAUAAAUCCCUUCUCCAAUACCAACAGCCCUCAUGUAAACUAACCAAAAUAAAGCAAACCCAAGUUUCUGCAUAUUUGAAUUGUUUUAUAUUAUUUUUGUUAGAGUGCUUGGGAGUCAGAAGCAAUUUCAGGAAAUGCUGCCCAUGUCACCAGCUGGAAUCCAGGUUCUUAUUGUCAAAGAGCCCUCAGACUUAUAUACAUGUAUUUGCAUGCACAAAAACACAAGUUCUCACACAUGCCUACACUUACACAUAAACUCAUGUGCACACUAACAUUCCCCACAUACUGUCACACACACCUACUUUCUUAAUUACACACUCAUGUAUCUUCCUACACUUACAUAUAGUAAUACAAACACAUAAACUCCCACACCCACAUAAACACAUACACUUUCACAUGUAAGUUCACAUUCAUACAUUCAUACAUUCAUUCACACUUCCUCGUGUACACAGAUACAUCCACAUGCAUACUGCCAUACUCACAAAAAUAUACACUGUCAUGUAUGUACACACACAGAUACACACACACACAGAGCUCUGGCCAAGUCUUCCUGACAUAAAUACAAACAGAAUGUGGUCUGCACAAAAGGUAUUUGUUAUAUGAGAAUUAAAACUGGAUCAUGUCCACUGAUUAGUUAGAUAUUUCCAAAUAUCUGCAUGUUUUGCUUUGUGGACAUCUGAAUAUUUGGCUGAGGCAAGCAUUUCUCUGUACCUCCUCCUCUCUAGGGAUGUGUGAUUCAGUUAUUCCUAAUCAUCUCUUCCCAUCAAGGCAGAACAGUGGGGAAAUUGAGGUCAAUUAACUCUGUUUCUGUUGAAAAAGGUAUAUGUUGAAAUGUUGAAUCAGAGCACCUGCAGAUUGGAGGUAUUUUGCAAAGUGACAACUCUAGCUCCCUGCCUAAUAAGGAGCAAAUUUCCAGGUAUAAGAGAAACCAGCAGCCCUCCCUGCUGCCUCCCCACUUAUCUUCUCUCUUUCUCCCACCUCCCCAUCAGAGGCCCAGAAGCUGAUCAUGCCUAUGAAACCUUUCCAAAGUGUUGCAUCCCAGCUCAUCCCAAUCUUCCUCAGGCAUUUCCAAUUUCUAAAGAAUCCAGGAAACUGUGCUAUUGGUCACUUUCUGUCUUUGGGAACAAAGUUCUGUUCUGUAAAGUGUGGUAGAAUGCAC